ensembl:lncRNA novel transcript
AAAAGAAUUCUGCGAGUUAGAGCGCAGAUUAAGUUGCUAGCGACGGGCAUUGAAGGUUUUAGAACCGAGAAAAUGAGCCGGUGGCGGGGAGCGCGUCCUCAGCGGCCAGGCCCGGCACGGGGCUCGGGCACUCGGGGACACACGGUGGUCGUCGCUGUGUCUCAGCAGGACCCUGUGCGCUGGAGAGCUUGGGGCCGCGAGUCGCGCAGCAAGGAGGCUUCUGGCUUCUCUAUUUUUAGCCUCUGAACGUUUUCCAAAAUAAUUACCAAAAGGAAAUACACACGCACACAUGGACCUAACACACAAAACGUCCUUCUGCGGGAAGCCAGCACUAGGAAAGAAAAAAAAAAAAAUCCGAAGUGAAAUUAUGACACAGGGUUUUGUAACCCGCGGUGGCGCGCUUCUGAAACCCGAGCCCGGCAGCGGCUUCUUAUCUGCACCGCGUUCCAGGAAGCAGCCGGCGUUUCGGCCGCGCAAGGGCAGCCGCCGCACGUAGGCAGCGUCCCCCAGCCCGGGACCCGCAGGAAUGCGAGGGGCAAGACAGAUCGCCGGAGGAGCAGGGGUCAGAAGUCAGUGUUUAACCACUCACUGGCUUUCGGUGAAGCCAGAAUGUUAGCAGCGAGUCGCGGUCGGGGGCCUUGGGGUUGCACACGCUUGCUCCAAGCACCGAGGCUCAGCUGAGCACAUGCACAACCCUCUCGAUGCAGCGGAAAGUCGUGUGGCUUAGGGCCGCACCCCGAAUUUCGCCGCACCCGCCGCUGUGCCAUUUACAACCCCCCACCCCGCCACUGCUGUCACGUAGCAAUCAAGAGUAAAGGUUAUCACAAAGUCUGUUCUUCGAAGGAAAGAGUUGGAAUCAAGGACUUCGGACGGGAGGAAGUUGGUAAGUUACCGCUUCCUCCCUCCUGUUUUCCUCUCCUUGUUUAACUUCUCACAAGAACAUGUGGCAGCGCUGCAGGUUAACUCAUCUUACAUAACUUCGGGGCCGUGUCAACUGUUCAGAAGAAAGAAAAACAAGUAUUCUCUUCUGUAGAAGUUGUAUUUAGAAACAGGCUCUGUUGUUUAGGACAAGUUCACUUGUGUUGCCUGAUCACUUGCAGCAGAAAAUCUUAGAACUGCUCCUCAAGCAACAAAAAGUAGGGGCUCCCAUUUCCAUCUUUCUUUCUUUUCUUUUUCUUUCUCUCUCUCUCCUUCCCUCCCUCCCUCCUUCCUCUCUCUCUCUUUCUUUCUUUCUGAUGGAGGCUUGCUCUGUCGCCCAGCUGCAGUGCAGUAGCACGAUCUCAGCUCACUGCAACCUCCGCCUCCCGGGUUCAAGCGAUUCCCCUGCCUUAGCCUCCCGAGUAGCUGGGACUACAGGUGCGCACCACCACGCCCAGCUAAUUUUUUGUAUGUUAGUAGAGAUGGGGUUUCACUAUGUUGGCCAGGAUGGUCUCGAUCUCCUAACUGCGUGAUCCGCCUGCCUCGGCCUCCCAAAGUGCUGGGAUUACAGGUGUGAGCCACUGUGCCCAGCCGGGCUCCCAUUUUUCUGAAUAUGAACUUCAAAAUAGUUUGAGGAGCCCAACAUGAGAGUAACUGGACAAUUGUCUUCCUCUGAGAAAACAAAAUGACAAACAACCAACAUGAAUCAAAUGAUGACUUGGUAUUUCAUUAAACACAACUCUUACAGCACCAGGAA